rnacentral:lncRNA from 1 species
UGUUUUUUGUUUUUGUUCCUGUUUAGUAAUAAAUUUUGCAUCUACUUUCUUUUUAGAUGUGUUUUCAUGAUUUAAUUAGUGUUUGUGCCAAGUAGAACCUAUAGGAUAACCUAUGAUGAUAGUUGACUUGAUUCUGCUGAAAAAUAGAAACUUUGCACUCACGAGAAAAAAUUAAAUAAAUCACAGAAACAUGCUUUUGCAUUGAUUCUUUUUGUUUCUGAUCAAUAAACAAAUUUUCCAGGACUUCCUAGUUUGGUAGGAUUUUUAGAGUUCCAAAAGUUUGCGUUAGUUACAGAUUGCUACAGACUGUUCUGUUUUUGACAGAUUCUGUUUUUUGUGUGUUGUUUGCUUAUUUUGAUGCAUCUAUGGCUAGUAUUAAGUGGUAUGAACCAUAGAGAACUUGGAAUACAGUAGGUUUAACACCAAAAUAAAUAAAGAAUGAGUUCAUUGCAGUACCUUAUGUGGUGGUUUUGUUUUCUUUCACUAACGGAGCUUAUAAGAUUUCCUGUUGAGUUUUGUGUUGUGAAGUUUUCAAGUUUUGGGUAAAGCUUUGAUGGACUAUGGAAUAAGGAGUGGCAAGUGCCUAAGCUUGGGGAUGCCCAAGGUACCCCCAGAUAUUCAAAGAUAGCCAAAAUCCUAAGCUUGGGGAUGCCCCGGGAAGGCAUCCCCUCUUUCGUCUUCGUUCAUUGGUAACUUUACUUGGAGCUAUAUUUUUAUUUGCCACAUGAUAUGUGUUUUGCUUGGAGCGUCGUGUAUUAUAUUAGUAUUUGAUUUUUAGUUUACCACAAUCAUCCUUGUUGUACACACCUUUUGGGAGAAGCCUGCUUGGUUAGAAUUUAUUAAAACAUGCUAUGUGCUUCACUUAUAUCUUUUGAGCUAUAUAGUUUUUGCUCUAGUGCUUCACUUAUAUCUUUUAGAUCACGGCGAUGUCUUAAUUUUAUAGAAAUUGCUAGUCUCUCAUGCUUCACUUAUAUUAUUUUGAGAUUCUCUUAGAACAACAUGGUAUUUGCUAUGGUUAUGAAUUUGGUCCUAGAAUGAUGAGCAUCCAAGUUGGGUAUAAUAUAAACUAUCAUAGAAAGUGCAUAAAACACUAGGAUCAGUUUGAUGCUUUAUAAUUGUUUUGAGAUAUAAAGGUAGUAAUGUUAGAGUCAUGCUAGUGGGUAAUUAUGAAAUUGAGAAAUACUUUUGUUGAAGUUGGCAAGUCCCGUAGCAUACACGUAUGGUAAAAGUUGUGUGACAAAUUUGUUGCAUGAGGUGCUCUUUUGAGUGUCUUCCUUAUGAGUGGCAGUCGGGGACGAGCGAUGGCCUUUUCCUACCAAUCUAUCCCUCUAGGGGCAUGCAUAGUAGUACUUUGCUUCGAGGGCUAAGUAGACUUUUGCAAUAAGUAUAUGAGUUCUUUAUGACUAAUGUGAGUCCAUGGAUAUAUGCACACUCAUCCUUCCACUUUGCUAGCCUCUAUUAUACCGCGCAACUUUCGCGGUAGCAUGCACCCAUUAUUUACCUUCCUCAAAACAGCCAUCAUACCUACCUAUUAUGGCAUUUCCAUAGCCAUUCCGACAUAUAUUGUCAUGCAACUUUCCACCGUUCCAUUUAUUAUGACACGCUCCAUCAUUGUCAUAUUGCUCUUUGCAUGAUCAUGUAGUUGACAUCGUAUUUGUGGCAAAGAAACCUUCAUAAUUUUUUAUACAUGUCACUCUUGAUUCAUUGCAUAUCCCGGUACACCGCCGGAGGCAUUCAUAUAGAGUCAUAUCUUGUUCUAGCUUUGAGUUGUAAAUCAAUAAAAGUGUGAUGAUUUUCAUUAUUAGAGCAUUGUCCCAGUGAGGAAAGGAUGAUGAAGACUAUGAUUCCCCCACAACUCGGGAUGAGACUUCGGACUUUACAAAGAAAAAAAGAAAAAAAAAAGAGAAAGGCCAAAAAGAAGAAGAAAGGCCAAAGAAAAAAAAAGAAAAAAAUGAGAGAAAAAGAGAGAAGGGACAAUUGCUACUAUCUCUUUUCCACACUUGUGCUUCAAAGUAGCACCAUGAUCUUCAUGAUAGAGAGUCUCCUAUGUUGUCACUUUCAUAUACUAGUGGGAAUUUUUCAUUAUAGAACUUGGCUUCUAUAUUCCAAUGAUGGGCUUCCUCAAAAUGCCCUAAGUCUUCGUGAGCAAGCGAGUUGGAUGCACACUCACUUAGUUUCUUUUGUUGAGCUUUAAUAUAUUUAUAUCUCUAGUGCAUCCGUUGCAUGGCAAUCCCUACUCACUCACAUUGAUAUCUAUUAAUGGGCAUCUCCAUAGCCCGUUAAUAGCCUAGUUGAUGUGAGACUAUCUUCUCCCUUUUUGUCCUUACAACCACCACCAUAGUGCUAUGUCCAUGGCUUGCGCUCAUGUAUUGCGUAAGAGUUGAAAAAAGCUAAAGCGCGUUAAAAAGUAUGAACCAAUUGCUCGACUCAUCAUCGGGGUUGUACAUGAUGGGAGUAUUUUGUGUAAUGAAAAUGAAGCAUGGCCUAACUAUAUGAUUUUGUAGGGAUAAGCUUUCUUUGGCUAUGCUAUUUUGAUAGGACAUGAUUAUUUGUUAGUAUGCUUCAAAGUAUUAUUAUUUUUAUGUUUUAUAAUCUUUUAUCUUGAAUCAUUUGGAUCAGAACAAUCAUGCCACAGUAAAGAAAAUUACAUUGAGAAUUAUGCUAGGUAGCAUUCCACAUCAAAAAUUCUGUUUUUAACAUUUACCUACUCAAGGACGAGCAGGAAUUAAGCUUGGGGAUGCUUGAUACGUCUCCAACGUAUAUAUAAUUUUUCAUUGUUCCAUGCCAUUAUAUUACCCCUUUUGGAUGUUUAUGGGCUUUAUUUUACACAUUUAUAUCAUUUUUGGGACUAACCUACUAACCGGAGGCCCAGCCCGUAUUGCUGUUUUUUUGCCUAUUUUAGUAUUUCAAAGAAAAGGAUUAUCAAACGGAGUCCAAACGGAAUGAAACCUUUGGGAGCGUGAUUUUUGGAAUGAACGUGAUCCGGAGAACUUGGAGUGCAAGUCAAGAAACAAACGAGGUGGCCAGGAGAUAGGAGGGCGCACCCACCCCUCCUGGGCGCGCCCCCUGUCUCCUGGGCCCCUCGAGCGGCCAUCGCCGUACUUCUUCCUCGUAUAUAUACCUAUGUACCCCGAAAACAUCCAGGCAGCUACCGAAACACAAUUUCCACCGUUGUAACCUUUUGUAUCCGUGAGAUCCCAUCUUGGAGCCUUCAUCGGCGCUCCGCCGGAGGGGGAAUCGACCACGGAGGGCUUUUACAUCAACACCCUAGCCCCUCCGACGAGUUGUGAGUAGUUUACCACAGCCCUCCGGGUCCGUUCUCCCCCUCUCUUGUGGAGAUCUAUUCGAUGUAAACUCUUUUUGCGGUGUUUUUGUCGAGAUCCGAUGAAUUGUGGGUUUAUGAUCAAGUUUAUCUAUGAGAAAUAUUCGAAUCUUCUCUGAAUUCUUUUAUGUAUGAUUGAGUUAUCUUUGCAAGUCUCUUCGAAUUAUCAGUUUGGUUUGGCCUACUAGAUUGAUCUUUCUUGCCAUGGGAGAAGUGCUUAGCUUUGGGUUCAAUCUUGCGGUGUCCUUACCCAGUGACAGAAAGGGUUGCAAGGCACGCAUUGUAUUGUUGCCAUCGAGGAUAAAAAGAUGGGGUAUAUAUCAUAUUGCAUGAGUUUAUCCCUCUACAUCAUGUCAUCUUUCUUAAAGCGUUACUCUAUUCUUAUGAACUUAAUACUCUAGAUGCAUGCUGGAUAGCAGUCGAUGUGUGGAGUAAUAGUAGUAGAUGCAGGCAGGAGUCGGUCUACUUGUCGCGGAUGUGAUGCCUAUAUACAUGAUCAUGCCUAGAUAAUCUCAUAAUUAUUUGCUUUUCUAUCAAUUGCUCGACAGUAAUUUGUUCACCCACCGUAAUACUUAUGCUAUCUUGAGAGAAGCCUCUAGUGAAACCUAUGGCCCCCGGGUCUAUCUUUUAUCAUAUAAGCUUUCAAUCUACUUUUAUUUGCAUCUUUACUUUUUGCAUCUAUAUUAUAAAAUACCAAAAAUAUAUUUAUCUUAUCAUACUAUCUCUAUCAGAUCUCACUUUUGCAAGUGGCCGUGAAGGUAUUGACAACCCCUUUAUUGCGUUGGUUGCGAGUUCUUUGUUUGUUUGUGUAGGUGCGUGGGACUUUUGAGGAGCCUCCUACUGGAUUGAUACCUUGGUUCUCAAAAACUGAGGGAAAUACUUACGCUACUAUUACUGCAUCACCCUUUCCUCUUCAAGGAAAACCAACGCAAGCUCAAGACGUAGCAGACAACAGAGCAAGAGGAGCAUCUAAAGGUGUAUUCACGAAAGCGAGGUGAGGGUGUUGCACAUCAGGGGGAGCAACAAGAUCUGCCAUUGAUGGAACAACAAGGUAGUAAUGAUGUUAUUUCCAUCUCUUCUGACAGGAAUAAAGAUGAAGGGCCAGUGGCCUUAAGGAGAACUACUCGAGCAACAGCAGGGAUACCGGAGAAACGGUAUGGAUUCAAUGACAAUGAUAUUGGAAAUUAUGUAUCCUAUGAAGCAUUAUCUCCAGCCCACAAAGCAUUUGUUGCUUCUCUUUAGUCUGUGUCAGUUCCGACUACUUGGAAGAAGGCAAAGGAGGAUUCAAAGUGGUGAGUGGCCAUGGUGGAAGAGCUGGAGGCUCUAUGUAAGAACAAGACAUGGGUACUAACACCCCUUCCAAAAGGAAAGAAGGCAGUUAGCUGCAAGUGGGCAUACACUGUGAAGCAGAAUGCAGAAGGAAAGGUAGAAAGGUACAAAGCAAGGCUUGUGGCGAGGGGGUACAGUCAGACAUAUGGCAUUGACUACGAUGAGACCUUUGCUAGCAAAGAUGAACACCGUGAGGAUUCUGAUCUCCAGUGCAGCAAAUUUUGGGUGGCCUUUACACCAACUUGAUGUGAAGAAUGCCUUCUUGCAUGGGGACUUGAGGGAGGAGGUAUACAUGGAUAUUCCACCUGGGUUCUCGACUUCGGAGACUACUGUCAAGGUAUGCAGGCUAAAGAAAGCUCUUUAUGGACUGAAACAGUCUCCAAGAGCUUGGUUUACAAGUUUAGACGGGUUGUGUGUGACAUGGGGUAUGGACAAUGCAAUGGUGACCAUACAUUGUUUUAUAGACACUCUAAAGGAAAAAUGACCAUCCUUGCAGUUUAUGUUGAUGAUAUCAUUAUCACCGGCGAUGAUGAUGUAGAGAUAGCAAGAUUAAAGGGGUGUCUGAGUAAUGCAUUCAACGUUAAAGAUCUUGGUCGACUCAAGUACUUCCUUGGUAUAGAAGUGGCAAGGUCUGGAAAAGGAAUAGCUCUUUCUCAAAGAAAGUAUACCCUGGAUCUCCUCUGUGAUGUCGGCAUGUUGGGUUGUCGAGUUGCUUCAACCCCAAUUGAUCAAAAUCAUAAAGUGACUACCCAAUCAGGUGAUCUGGUGGAAAAAGAAAAAUAUCAGCAAUUGGUGGGAAGAUUGUUGUACUUGUGUCAUACACGACCAGACAUUGCAUUUGCAGUAAGUGUUGUGAGCAGAUAUAUGCAUGAGCCUAGAAGUGAACAUCUACAGGCAGUAUAUAGAAUCCUGAGAUACUUGAAGGGUUCUCCUGGGAAGGGAUUGAUAUAUAAAAGUUAUGGACAUCUUGUUGUGGAUGGUUAUUGUGAUGCUGAUUGGGCUAGUUGCCUGGAUGAUAGGAGAUCAACUUCAGGUCAUUGUGUCUUCAUAGGAGGGAAUUUAGUGUCUUGGAGAAGCAAGAAACAACCCGUUGUUUCCAAAUCAACCGUAGAGGUUGAAUACAGAUCCAUGUCUCAGGGACUGAAUGAGUUGUUAUGGACAAGAAACCUAUUAGAAGAGCUGAAGAUAUUGAAGACCAGUUGUAUGAAUGUAUGGUGCGACAACAAGUCGGCAAUUAACAUAGCAAACAACCCAGUUCAACAUGAUAGAACCAAACAUGUGAAGAUUGAUAGAUUUUUUAUCAAAGAAAAACUGGAUGCUGGGAUUAUCAAGAUAGAGUUUGUGAGUUCAGGACAACAAAUUGCAGAUUGCUUGACUAAAGGACUAGGAACUAGAGAAUGCAGUUCAGCGUGUGAUAAGAUGGGAAUGAUAGAUAUCUACCACCCAUCUUGAGGGGGAGUGUUGACCGGUAUGGGGGCCUGGCCCAUCCCACUAUUGGCAUAGGGCCCAAGCCCAUGUGUAUUUGACCUAGAUGAGAGCACCAGACACUUGUCUGGAGAGGUGCGUGAGGCAUACACGAGAGAAGUCUCAGCCGCCACUCGCCUAUACACACAGGUAUUGUCCUGAUUCAACACAUGUAAAUCAAUUUCUGGCAUACGCUGGUAAGUGAUUCCCCAGUGCAUUAUUCAUAGAUGAUUAGGUUUUGGAGCAUAGAAAAGUUUUUGCUUUUCCCCUUUAACUGUGCCUUAAAUUUUGGCCUUCUGCAUCUACCAAAACAAAUAAACACAAAUAGUACUUGAUUAUUACAUAUUUUAUCAAUCUACAACAUCAAAUUAAACACAUUGUUUAUCAAACAUAACACAAUGUUCAUCACGCAUGAUCUUGUCACUUAUGGGCUAGCUAGUAGGGCGAGGGUUGAUCCUUCAGGUGCGUAGAUGAACAUAAAGUUAGCCAUGACGGCGUUUCCUAAAAAAGGGUGUUCAUCACACAUGACAUGAUAUAGAGGUAGAACUAGUUGUCUUGUUGCUCAUUCCAUGUUCACCACUCCUGGUGAGAUCUCGUUGAAGAUUUUCAUGAGUAUCCCCAUCUAGCUUUCUCCUACGAAUCACCCAGGGUCAACAAUGGAACUGCCAUGCUUCGGCCGUUUGUUCUUCUCUAUGUGAAGAACCAUGAGCACCACAAUGUCCUCAUCUUCCUCGAACUGAUAUUCCUCUUCGGAGGAGGAACCAUUCCACAAAGAGGAUUCAAGCGAACUCAUCUACACAACACGGUUCAUCACAAACAACUCCUAUGUUGAAACAAAAAAAGACAGAAAAAUAACUUGUAGGAAUUUCCUCAAACCCCUAGGUGGUGAGCUCAAUUCCUAUCGGUAUAGUUCGUAAUGGCGCCUUGAUCUUCUAUGGCCGGGGGGGAGUCGGGGAAAGCACUCAACAGAAAUCAACUGCGGUGGUGUUGCAACGACCGUAUCGGGCGACGAUGGGGAACACCUGGAAUCGAGUGGCGUCUAUCUUGGGGUUGCAGCGGACACAUCGACCAGCGGGAACAGGCGGCGAGGGGGGCGACGGAGACACGGUGGCAAGAAUUGGCCGGAGGGUGGCAACGGUGAAGUUUCAGCCAGUGCGAUUGGGUUCGCGCGUUCGGCUAGGAAAUUUCAGCGAUUGAGUUUUUCUGGCAGACCUGCUGUAGCAGCUUUUUCUAUUUUGCGACAUCCGCUAGAGGUAUUGCAACACUUGUAGCAAAUUUUAGGGCUUCAUGAUAUUUUUUUUCCAGUUUUGCUAAAAGUAUUGCACAUCUAAGUCCUAUGGCAUUAAUUUUACACUAAGAUCUGUGCAAGCAUUUCUUUUGUCUUUUUCCUUUUCAUUCUGGAUUGAUUAAGUCACUUAGAUGUGCGGUAACUAACGUUUUUUCCUCUUCAAAGUGCCCCAAAUGGCGGUUUUUGGGCACGGCAGCUAUUUUACAUGUUCUGUUGGGGAUGAUCUAACAAGAAGGGUUAAAAGAAGCAUGAGACUUAAAAUAAUAUCACUGGAUUUUUUAAAUACAAAUUCAAUGGUAUAACACAUGUCCCAUAUAUUUCGCUGGUCAAACUUGAGCAUGAGUUAUAAACUGGUGCGGAGGAAGUAUCAAUCAAUUUAAAAGAAAGUACUCAGAACACUUGGAAGUAUAUUAAACAUGGUCUUUAAACAGAGAUAAAGUGCAAUCAGCUUAUAAGUGCAGAGAUACUCAGUUUAUCUCUGAAGACAACACAAUCAUCCAUUGUUUCAGAGCACACCCACGCGAAAUUGACGAGCUACAUGCAUAGGUCCAGCACACUGGAGCACUUGCGGACCUUAAUUAACCAGGGCCGACCUUCGGGAUAUCAUAGUGCUCACUAAGAUUUGCGAGGUACUGGUUGAAGUCCUGGAUGCGGUCCCUGUGCGACUUGUCAGCCACCUUGGCCAACUUGUGUACGUCGAUCUUCUGCUUCUGUUCAAUGUAACGCCUCUCAGCUGGAGUGAGGUGAUCAUAAUCGGCUUGCGCACUCCCUUCCUCUCCCAGCUUGUCAGCUUCACUGAACUCAUUGUCAGGGUCACCUGGCAAUUCAGAGCUUCC